rnacentral:rRNA from 1 species
UACGUAGGGUGCAAGCGUUGUCCGGAAUUAUUGGGCGUAAAGAGCUCGUAGGCGGUCUGUUGCGUCGGCUGUGAAAACCCGGGGCUCAACUCCGGGCCUGCAGCCGAUACGGGCAGACUAGAGUUCGGCAGGGGAGACUGGAAUUCCUGGUGUAGCGGUGAAAUGCGCAGAUAUCAGGAGGAACACCGGUGGCGAAGGCGGGUCUCUGGGCCGAUACUGACGCUGAGGAGCGAAAGCGUGGGGAUCAAACAGG